UGAGUAAAUGGGAAACAAGUGGAAAAUUAGGACUACAUUCAUAUGUCGUCUGAGUAAACGGGAAACUGACAGCUAAUUUGCUAAUCUAAAGUAUUCGAUCCCUCCCUUGGCUAAAAAAGAAAAACUCGGGCUCCUUUUGCUAGGACCUUUCCCUUAGCUGAAAGAAAAAAAGAACCAACCCUAGAUCUAAAAACUCGGGCUCGUUUUGCCGCCUCUGACUCUCAGCUAAUCUCUCCCUCGCACGCUCGAUCUCACUCUCAUGAACCUCAGUCCCUCAAUCCACCCUCAAUCCCUUUCACCCUCUCAAGCUCACACACACUCUCAUCCUCCUGCGAUUCCGGCAAAGCAAGUUUGGGUAUGGAAGUUUUGGGUAUAGAAGUUUGGGUAAACAAAGCAUAGACGUCCUCAAGUUUGGUUCGAUUUCUGGUUCGAUUUCGAAUUCUUCAAGCUUGAGACCUGAUAAACAAGAACCCAUCUCUAACACAAGACACAGUUCCACAAGUAAUAGAGUAGACAAAAGGCCAAAUCCAUACAUUCCAGAUCAAAAUCAAUGAAGCAAAUGGCUCCAUAGUCAAAGGCAUCUAUCUAGACGUGGAAACCUUUACGCCACAAACAGGAAAUGAAACAACAACUUUCACACUAGCCCAUCCUCUUCCUGACAAAAAAGAGUCCCUGAUAAACAAAACAGUUCGCAGGGAAGCUGACAUUGAACCAGCAAUGGCAUUGCAGCUCUUGCACCACUUUUUGUGUAGAUAGAACUGGAACAAGCAACUUCUGGAUAGGCUCAACUAGACCAACUAUUUUAGCAUCAAAAAACUAGACCAACUAUUUUUUGAAAAAUGUUCCAGGAGCGACUGUAACCAAGCAAACCUCAAACUUAUAGUGGUUAGUUUUAUGUACUUCAUUGUAUAUUUCACCUUCCAUUAUCUUAAUUCUGUAUUUUCAGGGUAUUCCGGAGCAAAAAAAUGACAAGACUUGUGGAUAUUUCAUUAUGUGUUACAUGAAAGAAAUUGUGGAGGACAAGAACUUGGAUUUUAGUAUGAAGUGGGGAACGAGGUCAAAUUUGGUUUACACAGUCAAUGAUAUUGAUGAGAUCCGAGCUGAAUGGGCUGAGCAUGUUUUGAAGUUCCCAGAAAAUUAAGUAUCAGCCUAUAUAUUUGCUUUUGUUUCUGGUAGGUUAUGAGCAGUAGUAGUGUCUAGGAACUGCUUUUGUGCAUUUUGACAGAACUGCCUAUAUAUAUGCUUUUGUUUCUGGUAGGUUAUGAGCAGUAGUAGUGGUUAGGAACUGCUUUUGUGCAUUUUGACAGAACUGCCUAUAUAUAUGCUUUUGUUUCUGGUAGGUUAUGAGCAGUAGUAGUGGUUAGGAACUGCUUUUGUGCAUUUUGACAGAACUGAUGGAAAGUGUUGAACAUAUGCAUGCAGUUGCUGUAACUACUCUAUGGAUGCUACUAGGUUUUUGUCUUAGUUAGAUUAAGCUCCGUGCAAC